rnacentral:rRNA from 1 species
UACAGGGGGUGCAAACGUUGCUCGGAAUCAUUGGGCGUAAAGCGCACGUAGGCGGUUCGUUAUGUCGGAUGUGAAAGCCCUUGGCUUAACCGAGGAAGUGCAUCCGAAACUGGCGAGCUAGAGUACGAAAGAGGAUCGCGGAAUUCCCGGUGUAGAGGUGAAAUUCGUAGAUAUUCGCAAGAACACCAGUGGCGAAGGCGGCUCACUGGCCCGGUACUGACGCUGAGGUGCGAAAGCGUGGGGAGCAAACAGG